rnacentral:rRNA from 1 species
GACGAACCGUGCAAACGUUAUUCGGAAUCACUGGGCAUAAAGGGCGCGUAGGCGGCUUUCUAAGUCAGGGGUGAAAUCCGGCAGCUCAACUGUCGCAGUGCCUUUGAUACUGGAGAGCUCGAGGGAGGUAGGGGUCUGUGGAACUUCCGGUGGAGCGGUGAAAUGCGUUGAUAUCGGAAGGAACGCCGGUGGCGAAGGCGGCAUCCUGGACCAAUACUGACGCUGAGGUGCGAAAGCGUGGGGAGCGAACAGG